UAUAUGUAUACAUAGACUAUAUAUUAAUUUUAACUCCAUUCAAGUGUAUUUAUUUGUUUUAAAGCCAGAAGAGCAUUACUCUUGCAGGAUCCAACUUUUCCCCUCUGAUUCCCUGGCAUAACACCAGUACCUAAAGAAACACCGCACUAAUCUACAAAAAUAAUGUGCACUGUUUCCCUAUUGCUAACAGACUAAAAAGUUUGUACCUGAGAAUAAUAGGUGAUUCCUUUGGCCAUUAUUGGUUAAGUCCACUCUCUUCAGCUUGCCAAUGACAGGUGAUGCUUUACAUUACAAUCAAUUAAUACUCUAAGAUUCUUAGAAAUGGACAAACCACUUUUUUCCUAUUUUGGUUGUUUCUGAAUAGUUACUACCUGUGUGGAAAAAUUCAAAGUGCUAAACAGCAGUAUCACUUUAUGGCCUCAUACCACACUGGAGCAUGCCACAAGUUCCCAAGGCUGGUGACUCCUCCCUCUACUGACAGGUACUACGAGAGAUCUUCACACACUACAGACCUCAGUUACUAACACCUAAAUACUAAGACCCAUGGGAUUUUCAUUCUCUGUGUUCAUGCCUAGUACUUUGGUAAGAUCCACACCAGGCACACAUACACACACACAUUAGAAUACAUGUGUGUGUAUAUAUAUAUAUAUAUAUAUAUAUAUAUAAAUCUUAAAAGCAAGGCUGAGAUUUCUGUAUCAAGACAAUUUCUCCAGACCACCCUCCUCCAAUCUGAGUCAGAGUGAUGACAGCCAACUGGCUAAGGCUGUGUGUAGAAAAGGAUUUGUGUACCACAGAAAAAGAACUCCAAAAUUACGAAUCUUGAACUAUAUAUGUGAGCUGCUAUACAGCUGCUAUCAUCCCCUCUUGAGAGAAAAAGAGAAGAUUUGUCUCUCAAAUGUAUCACAAGUUGGAAAUGUAAACUGGAAUUUGGAAUGUAUGUGCAAGUAAGCCUACAAGUUUUCAUUCCCCUUUGAAGCAAAAGCACAUAGCUCUAGGGAGAUAUAUCUUUAUAUCUCUGAAAUUGCUGUCUAUUCAAUUAUGCUUUAACUUUCAAAGCAUAUCCUUUAACCCACUUUCCAGUUUUCUUUGCCUAGAAUACCCUAGCAUAGGGAAAUAUGAAAAUAUUUUCUCUAUACUUCUACAUGAUUGAGGAAACGCUUUCUUGUAGAGAUGGCAUUUGAACCUAGAAGGUUGGAUACCUAUGAAUUUACCAAACAAAAGGUAAACCCAUUCCUGGCAGAGGGAACAGAAGCACAACGGUUUGGCAGUAGGAAAGAACAUGGCAGAAUUCACAUCAAUUGUUUAAUAGCUGUUAUUUCUGGGAAAUGGAAUGUUAGGAUGAAGUGGAAGUUUAAGGAUAUCUUUUCAAUUUUGCUCUACUUGAAUCAUCUGAAUUAUUUGCAUAAUAAACUUCAAGUAAAAACAACAACCAAAAACCACACAAAAAACAGUACACUGUCAUCCAGGACACAUACGUCACUGCAUCAGGUAUUAACUGAAGAUGUAGCAGAAAAACAAAAAGCCUAUCAUAGGUCAUCAGAAUUUAUAUGCCUUGCCCAGCAAUUUGGACUUCAUUCUAUGGGUAGACAGAUCUCCUGAAAGUUUUCCAGAAAGGAGUAAUAAAAUUGUGUUCACGUUUUAGAACCAUUGCUCUGGCAGAACCAGAAUGAAUGGAUGAAGAUGAGGGGAUUGGAAGCAAGGGGAGAAAUUUAGAGUUUCAGUGCCAGAUUGACAUCUUCAAACAAUAGUAGUGGGAAUAGAGGGAAGGGCAAGCACCCAAGAGAUAUUAGGUAAAGCAAAUCAACGAGCAGACCUCAGUGAGUGAUGGGACAUGAGAAUCACUGGGACAGUGGGAGUCAGGAAAACUCCUUGGGUUCUCUUUUGGACAAUUGGGUAGAUGAGGGUGCCAUUUACUCAAAAGGUCAAUAUAGAUAUUUUGUUUUUGGUUUUGAGUUGGAGAAGAUAAUGGAUUUAUUUUUUAUAUCCUAAAUCUGAGCUCUCUAUGAAGUACCUUGAUGAAGAUAUCCAAUAGUACCAUGAAAAGGUUGGCAUUAAACAGUCAUUGAAAAUUAGAUAUGCAUUCCCCAAGGGAGAAUCUAGAGAAGAAGAGGGAAUACAUAUACAUAAAAACACAGCUACCAUUCACACAACAUUUAAGAUCUGAAGUUCUGCGGCUAUUGGCAUUGGUUCAGCAGCUCAACAAUGUCAGAUUUAGUAUCUCCAUGUUUUUUGAGGCUGUGCCUUCAUACUUGCCACCUCAUUGUUCUUACAGAUAUCACAGCCACUUUCACCACAGGAAGAAAGGGUAGGGAUUUGUAUCAGUCUUGUUCAUCUCCUUUCAUCAGGGAAGGAAAAGCUUCUUCAGAAUCUCCAGAAGAUUUUCACUUGUAUCUCACCGGCCAGAACUGUGUCACAUAUCAACACAUACCUGUGAAUGGAGCUGGAAAAGCACGUAUUACUUGGACACAUUAUUGUCAGAACACAGGAAGGAUUAUGAUGCCAUAGAAAAGGGGUGAGUGGUUAUUUAGUAGGAACUUCAGGGGCUGGACAGGAGAUUUGAAGCAGGAAAGUGAGUUCAGCAAUGUUAUAUGCCAUAGUGCUCAUUACAUCAUCUGGAUUUUCCAGAGCCAGGCUCUUCUGAGGACAUGGGAUAGCAAAGGCUGCAGAUCUCAACACAACUUUAGAGAAUGCCUUGGAGUUAUGGAGACAGAAGUCAGAAUACAGCAGGUUGAGAAGUAACUCGUCAAGGUAGGGAACUGAGACUGCUCUUUCUGAUCUGGGCUUCGUGGGAAAAGAAAGGUGGAUAGAGAAUAAUGAACUAUUGAAGGAUUACUUUUUUGUUUGUUUCUUUUGAAAAUGUGAGCAACUUGAUCGUAUUUACAGACUUAGGGGAGCUUAGAGAAAUGAGCUAAAGAUAUAACAGAUAAGAUGCAAUUAAAAGAGAGGAGAGCUGAACCCAUCCUCAGACAGGAUGAUGCGAUAGAAAGUGAGAAAAACCAGACAAAAGAAAGUAGUUCACGGCUAGCACUUUUCCUUCAUUUAUCUGUCAUUUAUCAAUAAUCUUUUACAUUCUGUUUCCUGAUAUUGGGCUUUCAAAAUUAUAGAAAAUACAAUGGAAUUGUAGAUUUUGAUUUUAAAAUGGUUGACUGGUCCAUAGAAAAUUUAAGAUUUAUAUUAUUGCUAUCGCUGCUUUUCCAAGUUUGACUAUCGUAUUAGUCCAUUCUCAAAUGCUAUGUAAAACUACCCAAGACUGGGAAAUUUAUAAAGAAAAGAGGUUUAGUUGACUCACAUUUCUGCAGGAUUAACAGGGAACAUGACUAGGAAGUCUCAGGAAACUUAUAACCAUUGUGGAAAGCAAAGCGGAAGCAAGCAUUUUCUUCAUACAGCAGCAACAGAGAGAAAGAGCGAAGGGGGAAGUGUCGCACACUUUUAAACCAUCAGGAGAAGAGCAAGAGGGAAAUCUGCCCCCAUGAACAAACCACCUCCUACCAGGCCCCU